rnacentral:rRNA from 1 species
AUUGAACGCUGGCGGCAUGCUUUACACAUGCAAGUCGAACGGUAACGGGCCGCAAUGUGCUGACGAGUGGCGGACGGGGGAGUAAUGCAUCGGCACGUGCCCCGUCCCGGGGAGUAACUACUCGAAUGGGUAGCUAAUACCGCAUACGAGCUAAUGUUGUGAGCGGGGGACCGUAAUGGUGAGAGCGAUUUGUGCGGCCGAUGUCAGAUUAGGUAGUUGGUGGGGUAAAGGCUCACCAAGCCAACGAUCUGUAGCGGGUCUGAGAGGACGACCAGCCACACUGGGACUGAGACACGGCCCAGACUCCUACGGGAGGCAGCAGUGGGGAAUCUUGGACAAUGGGCGCAAGCCUGAUCCAGCAAUGCCGCGUGCAGGAAGAAGGCCUUCGGGUCGUAAACUGCUGUUGUUCGGAAAGAACCGGCUCUGGUUAAUCCCCGGGGCUAAUGACGGUACCGAAAGAAUAAGCCCCGGCUAACUACGUG